UGACAACUGUGAUAGCCUACACAGAUGUGA
rnacentral:piRNA from 1 species